GAUGAACGCUGGCGGCGUGCCUAAUACAUGCAAGUCGAGCGAACAGACGAGGAGCUUGCUCCUCUGACGUUAGCGGCGGACGGGUGAGUAACACGUGGAUAACCUACCUAUAAGACUGGGAUAACUUCGGGAAACCGGAGCUAAUACCGGAUAAUAUAUUGAACCGCAUGGUUCAAUAGUGAAAGACGGUUUUGCUGUCACUUAUAGAUGGAUCCGCGCCGCAUUAGCUAGUUGGUAAGGUAACGGCUUACCAAGGCAACGAUGCGUAGCCGACCUGAGAGGGUGAUCGGCCACACUGGAACUGAGACACGGUCCAGACUCCUACGGGAGGCAGCAGUGGGGAAUCUUGCGCAAUGGGCGAAAGCCUGACGGAGCAACGCCGCGUGAGUGAUGAAGGUCUUCGGAUCGUAAAACUCUGUUAUUAGGGAAGAACAAAUGUGUAAGUAACUAUGCACGUCUUGACGGUACCUAAUCAGAAAGCCACGGCUAACUACGUG
rnacentral:rRNA from 1 species